rnacentral:lncRNA from 1 species
GGGCAGGUUUAUCAUCUUUGCAGGAGCUCCAUGUAGGGAGCAGACUGAGGCUUGCAGUCACCCUGGAAGCUGUGGUUAAGUUUCCACAUACUCUGUCAACACACACAUUUAGACAAGAGGGAGGUUCUGCAUCCCCCUGAGAUGAUAUCAGCAAGGGAAGGCUUUGCCCCUCCCAACCACUAGAGGAGAGGAAAAUGGCCUCAUGGCUAGGGAAGCAUGGAUAGGAAACAGAUAGGAAGAUGCUGAAUAAACAAGAGACUCCAGUGUUGCAACAUGGAACUGAGAGCUCUCUAAAGGUGACAAGAUGCUUGUGUUUGGUCUUUAUCGCUGUCUGGUUGCUAGGAGUUUCCAAGUCCAUGUUCCCCCACUCAGGCCAAACCUCAUGGAUACCACGGCUUGGGGCUGAGACAUGCCACGACAAAAUGGCUCCUGAACACAGGAUCUGAGAACGGGGGAAGAAGCCAUGGACACCACGAAGAAAGGGACACCAAAGAAGCAAUGGACAAGGCAGAGGUGUGGACAAUUCAAAGAGAUAGUCAUUGAGGUCGAACCAGCCAGAGAAGAGGCACAUGCAGGAAAAAGAAGAAAGAAGUGGCCGAGUGUGACAAUCGGCUCAGUGGGAAUGCUAGACUCAGUGGCCUUGGUGUUUGUGAGCCCUCCUGCUGCUACAGAGAGGAGACAGAUGAGGAGAAAAGACUAG